GCAGUUUUGAAAAAGAAAACGGAAGAACAAUAUUUCUCUUAGAUUGCCUCCGAGAAGAGGCCCACCAAGCUGGGUACCAAAGAAGUUUGGCCGCGUUUCUUUGAGCAUACGUUUUCUUGUAGAGCUGUCAAGAUUCAGAAGUCUGGGCAUCGCCGUCGCCCCUCCUCUACUCUGGCCGUCGCCGUUGCACAUCCAAUGCCCAGCACCCCGCAUCGCCCAUUUGUGCCCAGCACCCGCCGUCACGCCUCCUCUGCUCUGGGUCCCACGUCGCCGUUGAACAUCCUCGGCCCAGCACCCUGCGUCGUCGUCUCUUAUCCUCUGCAAGACAAACAACUUUGCAAGAAUUAGGUAAGUUUCCAUCAGGUAAUUUUCUGCAUCGCCCAUACUUGGUGUAUUCAUCCCAUUCGUUGCAACUUUUUGACUUUGGAGGUAGAUUGGUUGUUGUUCAUAGAGCUUUUGCAAAUUAUGGAAAAAGGAAAAGCCAUUAUCUCAAACUUAAAGAUAAUAAAAUGUCGAUUGAUUUGAAAAAUAAUCAUUGUCAAAGUUGAUUCCUUUGAUUUGCUUAUGGGAUUUUUGCCUACUGUAGACUGUAGUUAAAGAGCUUCUUUAUGCAUUAUGCGGUCAAAAUUGCCUUUUCGCUAUGCUUUGUAAUAUUUCAUCAAAGAUAUGAUUGGCAAGUGAGAAUCCAGUUUUCAACCAUUUCAUGGCAAGGAUUUCAUCAAGUUAAAUCCUAUGGAUGCAAGAAAUUAAACUAUAUCACCCAAUCAAUGCCCUGACAGUCUCAUAUUUGCGGGAAUUUUGCUUUCUGAUUCUCGAUAAAUAAAUACCGUAGAAAGAAAAAUCACGAAUCUUUUGGAUUUAGAUUCGAUUUUUGUUUUCUUACUACCAUUUUAGAAUCUAGGGUUGCGUCCGUUGGUUUUCUUGGAAUCAUGUCUAACUACUGAGUUUUGCUUUGAUUUUUGGUGAUUAUGGUGAUGAUAAAGAGCUUGAUCGCUGCUUAGAUCAGUCACUUCCUUGCUUGCAUGGGAUUGGUGUAAUGAUGGCGUUCUUGUCAGUCCAAGCCACUUAUAUGGAGAUGCCUUUGGUUCUGAUUUUCCUCACGUCCCUUUUCCAAAUUUUACAUUAUUCUAUCUGCAGUGGAUAGCGUUGUUAAUAUAGGCUACGAUGAGAUGCAUGGUGUUUAUGGCAGAGUUGCAUCCAUAGGAUUGUUAAAGGAUUCACUGAAGAUGUUACUCUUUUUGCAAAAAUUUUGAUUGGAUCUCAUAAUGUUCAUUCAUGUUAUGUAUUUAGAAAACUCAUGUAUUUGUAUAACUGGAAUGAUUUUAAGUUAUGGGAAUCUGUUCUUAUAUUUGCAUUA